GCUUUAAUUCUUGCUUCAAAUUCAACAUGGCAGAAUGGAGGAGUCACACUGGACCCAUUCAGAGAAAAAUCAACUAAAGAUACAGUUAACAGUCAGCUCCAGAUUUGAGGAAAUUGAAGAAUGUGCAGGAACUUUUACUUCCAUUGCAGGUCCCAAAGAUGAGGACUCCAGUAAGGUACCCAGUGGAAGCGCCUCUCAGCAGGCAUCGGCCGACUUCAGGAGGCUCCUGAUCAACAGAAGCAAGACUGUACAGCUGGACCAUCUUCAAGGAGACUGGAAUUAGACUUCCUCUUUUGAUCUGAAGACCAUGAAAAAAUUUGAGGAUAUGUUUCUAAACCAUUACAGAAAUCUUCGAGAAGAAAUGGACAGCAAGCAAAGACACUGUGGAACAAAGUACACUGGCUGGAGAGGGAAAUAAAUUCACAUGAGGUUCGAUAUAAGCACCACUCUCUGGCUCUGAUGCCUCUUUGAUGUGGAGGGUAAGCCCAGCAGCAUCUCCGUAGCACCUUCAGACCUUCAGGAUCUUUUAUUUAUUUACUUAUUUAUUUAUUUAUUUAUUUAUUAUUUAUUUAUUUAUUUUGAGACAAAGUCUUGCUAUGCAGUUCAGGCUAUCCUUGAACUCACUAUGUAACCCACAGUGGCCUUGAAAUUGCAGCGAUCUUCCUGUUUUAGCCUCCCGAGUGCUGAGAUUACAGGUGUGCACCACCACACCUGGCUACCUUCAGGAUCUUGAUGACCCUGCACUUUAGGCUUCAGGGCGAGGCUAUCACUGUUUUUCAUGUUGAGGAAAAGACGUCAAGAUUUUGAAUACAGAACUGUGGGACCAAAGCUUAGCUGUUGAGAAUAAAGCUCUUUCUCUGCAUUUGAAGGCUGCUUUCUGCUCUUGGCAGAGAAAUAAAUCUAUAUAAAAGCAACCAUGAGGAAAAUAAAAAAGACUAUAAAUCCUCAAGCCACCAGACAAAAAUGCUAACAUGUGUGCACACACAUGCAUAUCAAAGAAAUCAGCUGGGGAUUUAGUUCAGUGGCGCUGCGCCUGCCUCGAAAUUGCAAGGUCUUGAGUUCGAUAACUGGUACCGAAAAUAAAUAAAUGAAUGAAUGAAUAAAUAAAUAAAUAGAAAGAAAAGAAAACAAGAAAUGCAUGUAGUGAAACAUGGGAGACAGAGGAAACACUGAAAUAGAAAAAGAAGAUGAAAGAAUUAGGGCUAAUAUACCAGUGAUACCAACAAAUGAAAAUGGGAUAAGCUUGUCCUACGACAGAAAAAAGAUUCCUAUAUCACGUGAUAAAACAAUAUUCUACUCCAGGCAUGAUGAGCACCUGUGAUCCUAGCACCCCAGAGGCUGAGGCAGGAGGAUCUCCAUGAGUUCGAGGCCAGCCUGAACUGCAAAGUGAGACCCUGUCUGAAGAAAAUAACCAAAAUAAACAAACAAACAAGAAAGUGUCCUUUUUGUGAGUUGUAUACAAACGAUACACCUUUACCAAAAUAACUCAGAAAGGUUUAAAAAUAAAAGAUAAACCAAAGUACAUCAGAAAAUACCAAGUUGAAGCUGUAAUGUAACCAUCAACCAAACUUAUAUUAAAAUAAUGUUAUUGCUGGGUGUAGUGGUCCACACCUUAGGAGGCUGAGUCAAGAGGAUCACAAGUUCAUAGCCUGCACAAUUUUGGGAACUUGCCUCAAAAUAAAAUUUUAAAAAAGCUGGGGAUGUAGUUUAGUGUUAUGCUUGCCUAGAGCACGUGAGCCCCUAGGUUCAAUCCUCAGUAACUAAAAAAAAAAAAAUUAAAAAGUAAAAUGUUAACAUAAGAAAAAAAGUCAAAAGGAAUUUAAACAAGAAAAAGAGAGUUUUAUCACCUGCUGCACAAGCACAAGGACCUGAGUUCGAUCCCCAGUACCAAAAAAAAAAGAGAGCAUUAUUCACUGUAAGAAUCUGGUUUUCAGCUGGAGAUAGUAGCUGAAGUCAGCACUCAGGAGGCUGAGGCAGGAGAAAUCACCAUGAGUUCAAGGUCAC